GACGAACGCUGGCGGCGUGCUUAACACAUGCAAGUCGAACGGAAAGGCCUCGUUCGGGGGGUACUCGAGUGGCGAACGGGUGAGUAACACGUGAGUAACCUGCCCUUGACUUUGGGAUAACUUCAGGAAACUGGGGCUAAUACCGGAUAGGAGCUCCUGCUGCAUGGCGGGGGUUGGAAAGUUUCGGCGGUUGGGGAUGGACUCGCGGCUUAUCAGCUUGUUGGUGGGGUAGUGGCUUACCAAGGCUUUGACGGGUAGCCGGCCUGAGAGGGUGACCGGCCACAUUGGGACUGAGAUACGGCCCAGACUCCUACGGGAGGCAGCAGUGGGGAAUAUUGCACAAUGGGUGGAAGCCUGAUGCAGCAACGCCGUGUGCGGGAUGACGGCCUUCGGGUUGUAAACCGCUUUCGCUCAUGACGAAGCUUUGUGUGACGGUAGUGGGUAAAGAAGCACCGGCUAACUACGUG
rnacentral:rRNA from 1 species